rnacentral:rRNA from 1 species
GACGAAGGAUGCAAGCGUUAUCCGGAUUCAUUGGGUUUAAAGGGAGCGUAGGUGGCCUUAUAAGUCAGUGGUGAAAGCCUCCAGCUCAACUGGAGAACUGCCAUUGAUACUGCCGGGCUUGAGUACAGACGAGGUUGGCGGAAUUGAUUGUGUAGCGGUGAAAUGCAUAGAUACAAUCAAGAACUCCGAUUGCGUAGGCAGCUAACUAGGCUGUAACUGACGCUGAGGCACGAAAGCGUGGGGAGCGAACAGG